AAGGGCACCACAAGAACGCGUGGAGCAUGUGGCUUAAUUUGACUCAACGCGGAAAUCUUACCGGGUCCGGACACACUGAGGAUUGACAGGCAAUAUUAAUAUAUAUUGCAUUUAUGUACAUUAUAUUAUGUUAAAUAUGCUAGUCCUUUCAUGAUUAUGCGAUAGGUGGUGCAUGGCCGUUCUUAGUUCGUGGAGUGAUCUGUCUGCUUAAUUGCGUUCCACUAUUGGGCUUAUAUAAUUACGUAUGCUGUUAACGCUUUGACCCCUUUCUACGGAUUGUGCGUGUCUUUGUCUCGUUUAACUCAUACAAUUAAGCCCUGAAAGCAACGAACGUGACCGCAACCUCUUGUUGCUCUCAUUCAUAUAUUAUGCAUUCGUGCAUUUUAUUCACAUACUUUUUUAUAUUUAUUUAUCGAAUUGUAUUAAGAGAGCUUUCUAAACUAGAGGGACCGCUGUUACUUUCUUAAACCAGAGGAAGGUUGCGGCAAUAACAGGUCUGUGAUGCCCUUAGAUGUUCCGGGCUGCACACGUGCUACAAUGAUUAUUGCAGUGAGCAUCUCAUUUUUUACACAUCGCAUGCGCGAGUCCAUUUAUUCUUUACCUUCGUGUAUUGCUUUAAAUGUGUAUCUCUGCGCGCGAUAAAGCCUGCUUCGAAAGUCAGUGGGUAAUCAAUUAGAAGUAAUGAUUUCCGUUUUAUUUUAUUAUAUCUGCACACAUAUAUACGGCACUUAUACCCGGGUAACCUUGUUGUUACUUCUGUGUGUAUACGUGAUAUCGUUUUCUUGUAAAACUUUAUAUUACCGUAUGUGCAAUUGUCAAUUCAUGGUGGGGACAGACCAUUGUUAAUUGUUGUCUCGGUCUUAACUAGGAAUGCCUUGUACGGAUCUUUGGUUCAACAAACCAUCCGGAAUACGUCCCUGCCCUUUGUACACACCGCCCGUCGCUCUUACCGAUGGACUUCUCUGUGAGUUUGAGGGACUGGUAUUUUGAUAAAUUCGUUUAUCAUAUCACUAUAGAAACUUAAACGAACAGUGGGGUCUAAAGGAAAGAGAAGUCGUAACAAGGCAUCAGUAGGUGAACC
rnacentral:rRNA from 1 species